rnacentral:rRNA from 1 species
GAAACUCAAAGGAAUUGACGGGGACCCGCACAAGUAGCGGAGCAUGUGGUUUAAUUCGAAGCAACGCGAAGAACCUUACCUAAGCUUGACAUCCCAAUGACAUCUCCUUAAUCGGGGAGUUCCCUUCGGGGACAUUAGUGACAGGUGGUGCAUGGUUGUCGUCAGCUCGUGUCGUGAGAUGUUGGGUUAAGUCCCGCAACGAGCGCAACCCUUGUCUUUAGUUGCCAUCAUUAAGUUGGGCAC